rnacentral:rRNA from 1 species
GACGAACGCUGGCGGCGUGCUUAACACAUGCAAGUCGAACGGAAAGGCCCUGCUUUUGUGGGGUGCUCGAGUGGCGAACGGGUGAGUAACACGUGAGUAACCUGCCCUUGACUUUGGGAUAACUUCAGGAAACUGGGGCUAAUACCGGAUAGGAGCUCCUGCUGCAUGGUGGGGGUUGGAAAGUUUCGGCGGUUGGGGAUGGACUCGCGGCUUAUCAGCUUGUUGGUGGGGUAGUGGCUUACCAAGGCUUUGACGGGUAGCCGGCCUGAGAGGGUGACCGGCCACAUUGGGACUGAGGUACGGCCCAGACUCCUACGGGAGGCAGCAGUGGGGAAUAUUGCACAAUGGGCGGAAGCCUGAUGCAGCAACGCCGCGUGUGGGAUGACGGCCUUCGGGUUGUAAACCGCUUUCGCCUGUGACGAAGCGUGAGUGACGGUAAUGGGUAAAGAAGCACCGGCUAACUACGUG